rnacentral:rRNA from 1 species
GGAUUGUUUUGAUCCUGGCUCAGGAUGAACGCUAGCGGCAGGCCUAACACAUGCAAGUCGAAGGGGUAGAGUAAGCUUGCUAACUUGAGACCGGCGCACGGGUGCGUAACGCGUAUGCAAUCUACUUUGUACAGGGGAUAGCCCAGAGAAAUUUGGAUUAAUACCCCAUAGUAUUAUUGAGUGGCCUCACUUGAUGAUUAAAGCUUCGGUGGUACAAGAUGAGCAUGCGUCCUAUUAGCUAGAUGGAGUGGUAACGGCACCCCCAUGGCGACGAUAGGUAGGGGUCCUGAGAGGGAGAUCCCCCACACUGGUACUGAGACACGGACCAGACUCCUACGGGAGGCAGCAGUGAGGAAUAUUGGACAAUGGUCGCAAGACUGAUCCAGCCAUGCCGCGUGCAGGAAGACUGCCCUAUGGGUUGUAAACUGCUUUUCUACGGGAAGAAUAAGGUCCACGUGUGGAUCGAUGACGGUACCGUAGGAAUAAGGAUCGGCUAACUCCGUGCCAGCAGCCGCGGUAAUACGGAGGGUCCGAGCGUUAUCCGGAAUCAUUGGGUUUAAAGGGUCCGUAGGCGGGCCAAUAAGUCAGGGGUGAAAGUUUGCCGCUUAACGGUAAAAUUGCCUUUGAUACUGUUGGUCUUGAAUAGCUGUGAAGUGGUUAGAAUGUGUAGUGUAGCGGUGAAAUGCAUAGAUAUUACACAGAAUACCGAUUGCGAAGGCAGAUCACUAACAUUAUAUUGACGCUGAUGGACGAAAGCGUGGGGAGCGAACAGGAUUAGAUACCCUGGUAGUCCACGCCGUAAACGAUGGAUACUAGCUGUUGGGUUUUCGGACUUAGUGGCUAAGCGAAAGUGAUAAGUUCCCACCUUGGG